AUUGAACGCUGGCGGCAGGCUUAACCACUGCAAGUCGAGCGAGCGGCGGACGGGAGAGGAAUGACUGGGAAAGUGCCUGCAGGAGGGGGAUAAGUACUGGAAAAGGUAGCUAAUACAGCAUACCAACAGAUGUGCCCCGAUGGGAUUAGCUAGAAGGUGGGGUAAUGGCUCACCUAGGCGAAGAUCCCUAGCUGGUCUGAGAGGAUGAACAGCCACACUGGAACUGAGACACGGUCCAGACUCCUACGGUAGGCAGCAGUGGGGAAUAUUGCACAAUGGGCGCAAGCCUGAUGCAGCCAUGCCGCGGGUGUGAAGAAGGCCUUCGGGUUGUAAAGCACUUUCAGCGAGGAGGCGUUACUCGCAGAAGAAGCACCGGCUAACUCCGUGCCAGCCGCCGCGGUAAUAC
rnacentral:rRNA from 1 species